CACACGGUGGUAGGAGAAGCCCCCGGCAGCGCUGCGGGCCCCUCUGUGCUCCAUUCCCUCCCCCCACCCACAGCCCCGGCCACAGCUGCGACGAAUGGAGAGCAAAAAGCUCUCCUCCGAAGGGCUGAGGGAUCGGCCAGCAGCAGUGCUGGGUGCCAAACUGCCGCAGCUCAGCUCGGGGGUUGCGUUCACUGAGCUCUGAAGGUUCUGGACUCCCCGUUCUGCAGUGCAGGAGCUGCACCUCUGAAGGCCAUCUGGUCCCACCCCCUGCGAUAAGCGGGGACACCCACAGCUCCAUCAGGUGCUCAGAGCCCACCCAGUCUGACCUUGGCUGUACCCAUGGAUGGGACGUCCACCACCACAGCACUCAGCUCUCCAGGAGCAGGCUGACACACGGACCUGGAGGAGAAGGGCAAGUUGUCGUGGCCGGCGCUGGCGCAGCAGUAGAAGCCCUGCAGGGUUUUCACCACCCGUCCUCUCGCUGGGCUGAUGUUUGAUUGCAUCCCACAGCAGCAGACUGGAGGAAGGGAGUUAAUUUUAACUGAACAAACAAAGCAGGAAGCCACUGCUAAUUAGACACAGAUGAAUCUCGGCUGGCUCCCUGGGUGUUCCGGGAGCUGUUUUUCCAGCGCUAAUAAUCCAGCCUACAACAAUGAAUGAAGCAGAUAUUGUUUGUUGUUGCUAAUAGAUGCUGAUGAUAACUCCAUCCGCAGCGCUGAGGCUCACACCAGGUAGCACAGGUCGCACAGUGAGGUGGUGGCAGGGGAAGGGCAGGGCCGGGUGCCCUGCAGGUGCUGCCCGUUGUGCUCCUUUGAGCCAAUUUGCUUCCCCUGAGAGCAGCAGCCACGCCAGCACGUUGCUUCAGCUUUGGGUUUGGCUGCAGGAAUGGAGCAUCCUUAACUCCAGGAGGGUGACCUGCAUCCCAUGGAUGGGGUAGAGCAGACUGGGUGCUGGUGCACGGAGGAGCCACGGCUGCUGAUGAACUCAGGACCUGCAUCCCCCCACCUGCUGGCUCCUUCCUCAGGACCUGCAUCCUGCUCUACUCCAUGGUUACAUGACGGAGAAAUGGACCCACUAACAAGCUGCAUGCUGCUAACAAGCAGUUUGCCAUUCCCAUGCUAUAGUCCAAGGCGCACUGCCAUGUGUCUGUGCAGCAGCAACUCAGCUGAAGAAACCCUUGAAGACUUCAUGGCGUGGAACAACACGAGGGGAUGGCACAGAGCACUGCCUGCCUCUGCCGCCCAGCCGCCUCAGCUGUGCCUUUUGGCUCCAGGAGUGUUUCCCUGGGGAACUUCAGCAGCAAAACCCCAAGCCGUUUGCUUCGAGAUUCUCCACUCUUGACA
ensembl:lncRNA